rnacentral:rRNA from 1 species
UACGAAGGGGGCUAGCGUUGCUCGGAAUUACUGGGCGUAAAGCGUGCGCAGGCGGCUUCUCAAGUCAGGGGUGAAAGCCCAGAGCUCAACUCUGGAAUUGCCUUUGAGACUGAGUGGCUUGAGUACGAGAGAGGUGAGUGGAAUUCCCAGUGUAGAGGUGAAAUUCGUAGAUAUUGGGAAGAACACCGGUGGCGAAGGCGGCUCACUGGCUCGUAACUGACGCUCAUGCACGACAGCGUGGGGGAUCAAACAGG